rnacentral:rRNA from 1 species
GCAAGUCGAACGAGAACGGGUUAUAGCUUGCUAUAACUGUCAGCUAAGUGGCGCACGGGUGAGUAAUAUAUAGUUAACCUGCCCUAGAGAAGGGGAUAACGUUUGGAAACGGACGCUAAUACCCUAUAUGCCUUUAAGACAAAAGUCUGCAAGGGAAAUAUUUAUAGCUCGAAGAUUGGCCUGUACGGUAUCAGCUUGUUGGUGAGGUAAUGGCUCACCAAGGCAAUGACGCCUAACUGGUUUGAGAGGAUGAUC